CCUACGGGUGGCAGCAGUGAGGAAUAUUGGUCAAUGGGCGUGAGCCUGAACCAGCCAAGUAGCGUGAAGGAUGACUGCCCUACGGGUUGUAAACUUCUUUUAUAAAGGAAUAAAGUGAGGCACGUGUGCCUGUUCGUCUGUACUUUAUGAAUAAGGCUCGGCUAACUUCGUGCCAGCAGCCGCGGUAAUACGGAGGAUACGAGCGUUAUCCGGAUUUAUUGGGUUUGAAGGGAGCGUAGAUGGGUUGUUAAGUCAGUUGUGAAAGUAUGCGGCUCAACCGUAAAAUUGCAAUUGAGACUGGCAGUCUUGAGUACAGUAGAGGUAGGCGGAAUUCGUGGUGUAGCGGUGAAAUGCUUAGAUAUCACGAAGAACUCCGAUUGCGAAGGCAGCUUACUAAACUGCCACUGACAUUGAUGCUCGAAAGUGUGGGUAUCAAACAGGAUUAGAUACCCUUGUAGUC
rnacentral:rRNA from 1 species